rnacentral:rRNA from 1 species
GACGAACGCUGGCGGCGUGCUUAACACAUGCAAGUCGAACGAUGAACCCGGAGCUUGCUCCGGCGGAUUAGUGGCGAACGGGUGAGUAACACGUGAGUAACCUGCCCUUGACUCUGGGAUAACUGCUAGAAAUGGUAGCUAAUACCGGAUACGACCCUCGGUGGCAUCACCAGGGGGUGGAAAGAAUUUCGGUCAAGGAUGGACUCGCGGCCUAUCAGCUAGUUGGUGAGGUACCGGCUCACCAAGGCGACGACGGGUAGCCGUCCUGAGAGGGUGACCGGCCACACGGGGACUGAGACACGGCCCAGACUCCUACGGGAGGCAGCAGUGGGGAAUAUUGCACAAAGGGCGCAAGCCUGAUGCAGCAACGCCGCGUGAGGGAGGACGGCCUUCGGGUUGUAAACCUCUUUCAGCACAGACGAAGCGCAAGUGACGGUAUGUGCAGAAGAAGGACCGGCCAACUACGUGCCAGCCGCCGCGGUAA